AGAGAGAGAGAGAGAGAGAGAAGCAAAAUGAACAAGAUUGAUAUCAAUGCAGCCUUGUCAGCUCUUCCACUCUCUUGCACAGCUCCUCCACUGAAACACUCAUUGCCUUGGAAAUCUCAUCCAUCCGUGUUCGGCUGAGAUCAAGGAAUGACUCUAUCAGAUCUCCAUCCAAGAAAUUUUUGGCAUCUACAGUUUUCUUCUCAUUGUUGAAUGAUCUCCAUUGCUCAUGGCUCAACCCUCCGACACCCUUGAUCACUUUCCUUAAGUUUGAUUGGAGCUUCUCCAAAAAGACAUAUUGCUCGUGACGAAGUGAAGCUAUCACUCCAAUUACACCAUUAACAGUGCCAAAAAUAACAGUUGGGAUUUGGCCCACAUCGGAAUCUGGCAAGCGCAUCACAAGGGAACCAUGUCGGAAUCGAUUCACAAAUUCUCCAAGAUGGUACUCACCAACCACCUCAAGGCGGCCCCGUUCCUCAUCAGUAGCACCUUCACUGUUCUUACGUACUGUGAACAGGUUGAAGUUAUUUUCUGCACCCAGGUAGAUGUCAUCAUCAAGAAUCUCAACAGCUGACAUCCAAUUUGCAUUAUAAUCACGAGCUCGCUCCUCAAUAGCACCCUCUUCAUGCUUGUAGAUUAGCAAAGAGAUGGACUUCAUCAGAUCACCAACAACAAUGAAAUCUCCACGAGUUUGCACAUAAAGAGCAAGUAUAUGCCCAUGAUGUCCACAUUCAGACUGAAGCUCAUGGGAACCGUCAUCUCGAAGCAUCCACUUGUAUAACUGGAUUUUCUGAUUAAUAGCAGCUAGCAGUUUGCCAUUGAAAGCAUUCAAUGAGUAAACAGCACCCUUAGUUUCCUUCUCGGUGAUAAGCUGCAACUUCCCUUCCUCAACCAUGAAAACCAAUAUUCGGCCCUUAGUAGGUUCAUUUUCCUCUGGCAAAACAUAAGCAGUUCCAACACAAUAGUACACGUUAAUAUCAUCAGAAAAGGAACAGCUAAGUAUAGAGCAGCCAUACUCAAAUGGGUCAAGUUGGUAAGUUGAUAUGAAUUCAAAGCUUUGGUCAUCCAACAAACGGAUAAAAUGUGUUUCAGUUUCUUCUGCACUCGAUUGGUUUUUCAAACUACAAAUGGCAAAGGUUCGAGACUGCUCCUGAUGACAGAUACGCCGUGCGUGUUCCCCCAAUGGAAUAGUGCGGAUGUGAAGCUUUUGUAUAUCAUCAAUGGUGCCAAUAGUGAGUUCACCUUCUUUUGCAAUUGCAAGGCUGUCAGGAAAAGCAGCAGAGUUGAAAGGACACAUGUGACUAACUUCUUUCAAAUUGACAUUGCUGUAGAGUAGUUUCUUGUUACUGCUGUAAAUGACAGUUGGCCUAUCUGAUGCAGCAAAUACAUGGGUGACGUUCUUGGAUGAGAAAGUACGGAGUGUUAUAGGCUGGGUCCCUAAAGACACCUUUUUCCUGUCCGUCAACUCUCCAGUAUCCAAUUUCAAUAAGAAGUUCAAAAGAUGACCAUCUCCAAGGGCACAUAACAAGUAAGAUAUCCCUUCAAAGGAACAUAGAAGAACAGAACGAGGUAUUAUCUCCCCUCCCAAAUGCUCCUUUGUUAUAACAUUUAGGUCAGGCAAUGAAAAUAUCCUGACACUUAUAUCUGUCCACAUUCCAACUGCAGCAAGCUGACUAUAGGUGGGAUUUUCACCAAUGGGGUUAAUGUCAAGGCAUGAUAUCUCAUACUCCAGCUGAGCAUGUUUUACCUCUGUCAAUACUCCAUCACCAAUUUCCAGAUAGACUAAGUGGCCACCCCCAGUUGCCAGUAAAACCUGGGUGGCAUUAGCAGUGGCAACAUUAAUUGAAUAACCUGAUGGAGCAUUCCACUCAGUGCGGAAUUCUCUUGUUGUAGAACUGACCAAUCUCACACAGCUUGAGGUGACUUGCACAAGCUGAUUGUGGACAGCAUAAUGGCAGAAUAAAGUCUGCACUUGUGAACAGAAACCCUCUAUUUCAGUUUCUUCCAACUCAUCCUCAGGGUUCAUUGCCAAAAUUCGAGUCUCACUAAUAAAACUAACAACCAGGAAGGUGUCAAACGGGUCAUCAGUGGAAGAUCUUAAUGACCACAUCCCUUUGAUACCUUGAAGCUCCACAGAUGCCUGUUCAUUGAUUCCUAUUCCAUUUCGAACUAUGCGAAGAGAACCAUCUUUAUACGCUCCAGAGCAAGUUACAACCUGACCUUGGCCUUGCCUCUCAAGGUCCACCACACAGAAAUCAACAAUUGGUCCCAAAUUGACAUAACUUUCCAAGACUUCAACGUAUGAACCUUUUGCAUCAGGUUGUAGAUUUAGCUUUAUAAGCUGUGAAUCUCCAUAGCUUGAACCUAUAUAGACAACUGCAUUAUCUAGAUAUGAUAUGGUAGAUGCAAUAGCAGUUUCUCCCAAGAGCUCAAUUUUUAGCCCAGUGACCUUCUCUUUCUCAUGAGUUAUAACAAGAAGGUGAAGUAACCCGGAAUGAUCACCAAGUAAAUACCUAGAACCAUCAGCAUCAACUCUUCCAUAGGCUCUUGUGAUGGACUAGAUGUGCACAUCACACAUUGGUAAGGAGGAAAAAAAAAAUCGUCAUAAGCAGAUAGAUUAGCAACCUUAGUAAAAAUAACCAGUAACCUACAGGCCUUAUUGGGAUCGCUUUAAAUGCAUUUGCACUGCAAUAAACAAUUGUUUCUUCUCCAAUAAUAAGGACACCACAUAGAGGUGGGGGCACUGGUAUAAGCAAAUCAGCACCAUUGUCAAGAUUGUUCUGAGACCAUGGACCCUCAACAAAAUCUUUAUCUUUCAGAGCAACCUCAUAUGUUUUGACAUGACGAGCAUCUUUAUUAUCCUGGUAAAGAACAACAAUUGUAGGCUUUGAACAACCAUAGAGAAACUUGAUAUCCAAAACUUGAAGUUCCUCAAGCCUUAUGUUAAACGCCUCUUUGAGCUGCCCUUUGUUAUCAAAAGGAAUAACCUUGAACAACCCAUCAUACAAAUGUAGUCCAAUCAAUCUACAAUCUGGAUCGAUUAUGCCAAUCUGACCAUUGUCUGUUGGACGACCUAUGCGGUCAGAUACAUCCCCCAUUGCUCUUGUAAUAAGCUCAGAUGUCUCAGCAUCCCACUGAAGAACACAGAAUUUAUAUCUUUCAGUAGCAAUAAAUAGAAAAUCCUGUGCUUCACCGUGAGGGCGGAAAAGUUCAAGUGUUGCAAUUCUUCCAUAUAUUGGAACAUCUAACAUAGGCUGUAAUCCUUGAGGAGUAAGCAAAUGGAUUUCGAUGCGAGUGCAUUUCGCAAUAAUUAGAUUGAGCUCUUGAGGACUAGUAAAAUUGCCGACACAGGAGUGGGUAACGUUGGUAGGCUUCUGAGCCGUCACCACGUAGUUCCAUACGCUCAUCUCUUCUUUUCUCUCUCUCUCGUUCGGUGGAAGCCUAGCUCGCUCGCUCGCUCUCUGUCUCUGUGCUAUGUGGGCUUCUGUGAGCUGUUCUUUGCACUAAGCUCUGGAACUGGAAGGUAUACAGAGCUUCUGAAAGCCUUUAAAAAAAAUUGUGGAUUUUAAGAAAAAAAUUAUUUAUUCAUGAGAUUUGUCAAUAUUUACCUCAGUGGGAUCAUUU
rnacentral:misc_RNA from 1 species